rnacentral:misc_RNA from 1 species
UUUCCGUAGGUGAACCUGCGGAAGGAUCAUUGUCGAAACCUGCCCAGCAGAACGACCCGCGAACUUGUAUAAACAACUGGGGGCGGGGGGCGUUCUCGCCCCGUGCCCCCGAACGGCGGGGAGACACUCGUGCCUUCUUGCCGAACAACGAACCCCGGCGCGGUCUGCGCCAAGGAACUUCAACCAAAGAGUGCCUCCGGUCGCCUCGGAAACGGCGUGCGUGCCGGAGGCGAAUCUUGUGCAAAACCAUAACGACUCUCGGCAACGGAUAUCUCGGCUCUC